GAUAGCAGUUGAAAAAUCCUUUGCUUCCAAACCCUUAAUUUAAUAUCGGUACCGUCAGUACUGUUGGGAACGGUGCUGGCAUUAGUAAGCUAUAAGUUUCCCGAGGUCGAUAUCGUUUGAAUCCGUGUAUCAUUACCAAUAUGUAAUUGGUUCUACAAGUAACAUGUGGAGAAAUCCCUUAACUUGGAGUUACAUAAAUAAGCUUUUAUAAUUCAUCAAUUGCAAUCUUAUCAUCUAUGUUGCUCUUUACUGGCAUGUACCAGAUUUGAUGGUACGUCGGAACAUACUGUGAAAAACUUGACAAUUGGAAGACACAGAUUGUUGAUUAAGUGGCUAAUUGAGAGAUGAAAUGCAGCUUAUGCAGAAGUAUAUUUUGUGAAGAAGGAUCACGAGCGAAAAAGGUCUCAUUUUCUGAAUUCUUAAAGGGCUUUGGGGGGGGAAAUGUUUGAAAUAAAUCUUGCAAAAAGUUCUACGGAUUUCCUAAUGGAAUUUUCGGUGGAAAUCGAUUCCCAAAAAAAAACACUUGGAGAGGUCUUUUUAGAAGAUAUUUUAAAAGUUCAAGACCAACAAUUGAAAAGGCCUCAUUAACAUUGCGUAAGCAAGCACGUUUUUGCCGACUUAGGGCCUUCUGGGAUCCACCCACGCAUCUCACCACCAUUAACAGGAAGGUUGAUGUUUGCGCUUUCUGUUAGUGGUGGUGAGGUGUGUGGGUGGAGUUCAAAAGCCCUCAAGUCGACAGAAACAUGUUUGUUUAUAAAAUGCUGAUACGGCCUUUUCAAUUGUUGGUCUUGAGUUUUUUUUCAUUUUUUUCUCUACAGCACUUCACCAGCAAUAGUGCUUUUUCUAAACAGAUUGUUUUGCAUGUGCCAAUCACUUGAUUUAGGUAUUUACUACUUAUUUAAAGCCGAUACUUUUAUGAAUGCUACACUAUUGACCCAAUUUGUGACGAUUGCAAGAGAAGUAAAUGCUGUUUUAUCCUAAUCCAAUAAAAACUUUUUCAACAUCAAACGGCCAAUUUUGAUAAUUUAGUCCAUAAACCUAUCCCAGCGGUGCAUUCCCAGUGCGGUAGACUCUUGACCACUAAUUUGCCCCACGAGAAAAUUCGUUAUGUAAAUUAUUGUCCCCCAUUCGAAGUCCUAAGAAGAAAACAGCUGAGUACGAACAUCAGCGGCCAUCGAAUUGCACCUCAUAUAGGUGGGGGUGUAAAUAGGGGAAAUCAAGGUUGAAAACCCUUACAGCAAAAAAAAAAAAACACUUGAUCAUUAAUAAUUUCAUUCAUUGCUGUCAACUACACAAAUGUAAGCACAUACACAGCGUCCAAACUGAAAUCUCAAGUAAAUAUGGAGUAAAUCGUCAAUCAUCAAAGAUAUGUUAUAUAAAUGCAAAAAUGGUCAAUUUAUAAAGAAAGCUCUGGGUUAAUAAUAGUGAAAGUGCUGACACAGCAUUGAAAAAGCUGGGUUUGUGCCAGUAGGGACGUAACGCCAAGGAAUACAAAAAAGAUGUUUUAUACUGAUUCCCCUCUACCAU